UAUGACGUGAAUGCUUUAAGGCCUGUAGCAUCACGUGAAGAUUGAACUUAGGUGAGAUCAACUGAAUAAUGCUUAUUGAACAUUGAAUUAAAACAACAAAAUGCACAUUACCAUAGCCCAAAAAAAUAAAAUUGUUGGUUCAAAAAUUAACUAUUUAUCAACGCCAGAUACGAUGACUAGAAGUGCAAUCAACUAGCAGAACAUUUCAUCCACAGUUCAAACCAACAGUGACCUACAAACAGCAUCUACCAAGAAAGGGUCGAUCAUAUCAUUCAAAGUUUAUAGCAACAGGUAACAAACGCGCAGAAAUUACUAUAAUACAUCCACGAAAACACUAAAGUUAUAUGUGUCUCAGUCACAAUGGCAAAAAACAGCAUACAGAACCACAUAAUGCCAACAUUAAAUAGAUGCGGGGGCAUUCCACAAACGUGGUGCGGGCAACAACAAAUUAAAGCGGGUGGACAACCAAUUGCAUCACCAAGACUAACAGACCCAAAAAAAGUUUGCCCAGAACUUGAUGACCAUCAUUCACAUGUCAUCAAAUGGAGCAAGCAAUGGCAGCCAACCGAAACAACAACCAGCACAAAUUUAUGCACAACAACCAAGUAGGAUGAGAGAUAUAGAAGCAAUAAAUUAAUCCAAACUCUUUAUAUGAAGAACCAGAGAACUAGUCUUAGCAUUUAACGAAAUAAGCCUCCGGAGAAAUCCUAAAUAGCAACCUUUUAAGCUUAAUGGUUUAGGAUUUCCCAUGAAUUUAGCAUGUCAGAGAUCAUUUCACAAGCCAGAACAUUAACAAUUGAAAAGAGGUAGAGAGAGCACAUCGAAACAAUAUAGAACAUAACCACCAGAACCAAAUUAAACGGAGUCCCACAAACAGCCAAGAAUGCCAAAUCCAAGAUUGCCUCGUCGUCAAGAAAAUAGCCGCUUUCCUUUCAUAGCAAAACCCGGGUCCAAGAAUCAUCACAACCUUCUGGAGAAAAUGGCCUUAACAUAUAAAUUCAAAA